rnacentral:rRNA from 1 species
AGAGUUUGAUCAUGGCUCAGAUUGAACGCUGGCGGUAGGCUUAACACAUGCAAGUCGUGCGAGAAAGUAUCUUCGGAUAUGAGUAGAGCGGCGGACGGGUGAGUAACGCGUAGGAAUCUACCUAGUAGAAGGGGAUAGCCCGGGGAAACUCGGAUUAAUACCGUAUACCUCCUUUGGGAGAAAGAGGGCCUCUCUUGAUGCUCUCGCUAUUAGAUGAGCCUGCGUAAGAUUAGCUUGUUGGUAAGGUAAUGGCUUACCAAGGCUACGAUCUUUAGCUGGUCUGAGAGGACGAUCAGCCACAUUGGGACUGAGACACGGCCCAGACUCCUACGGGAGGCAGCAGUGGGGAAUAUUGGACAAUGGGCGCAAGCCUGAUCCAGCCAUACCGCGUGUGUGAAGAAGGCCUUCGGGUUGUAAAGCACUUUAAGCAGGGAGAAAAAGCUAUAAGUUAAUACCUUAUAGCCGUGAUGUUACCUGCAGAAUAAGCACCGGCUAAUUCCGUGCCAGCAGCCGCGGUAAUACGGAAGGUGCAAGCGUUAAUCGGAAUUACUGGGCGUAAAGCGCGCGUAGGUGGUUUGUUAAGUUGGAUGUGAAAGCCCUGGGCUCAACCUAGGAACUGCAUCCAAAACUAACUCACUAGAGUACGAUAGAGGGAGGUAGAAUUCAUAGUGUAGCGGUGGAAUGCGUAGAUAUUAUGAAGAAUACCAGUGGCGAAGGCGGCCUCCUGGAUCUGUACUGACACUGAGGUGCGAAAGCGUGGGUAGCGAACAGGAUUAGAUACCCUGGUAGUCCACGCCGUAAACGAUGACAACUAGCUGUUGGGAGACAAUGUCUUUCAGUGGCGCAGCUAACGUUUUAAGUUGUCCGCCUGGGGAGUACGGCCGCAAGGC